GAUGAACGCUGGCGGCGUGCCUAACACAUGCAAGUCGAGCGAGAAUUUACAAAAUGAAGCUUCGGCAGAUUUUGUAAAGGAAGGCGGCGGACGGGUGAGUAACGCGUGAGUAACCUGCCCUUAGGUGGGGGAUAACACAUCGAAAGGUGUGCUAAUACCGCAUAACAUAUGUUUACCGCAUGAUAGACAUAUCAAAGAUUUAUUGCCUAAGGAUGGACUCGCGUCUGAUUAGAUAGUUGGUGAGGUAACGGCUCACCAAGUCGACGAUCAGUAGCCGAACUGAGAGGUUGAUCGGCCACAUUGGGACUGAGACACGGCCCAGACUCCUACGGGAGGCAGCAGUGGGGAAUAUUGCGCAAUGGGGGAAACCCUGACGCAGCAACGCCGCGUGAAGGAUGAAGGUCUUCGGAUUGUAAACUUUUGUCUUAUGGGACGAAAAAGGACGGUACCAUAGGAGGAAGCCACGGCUAACUACGUG
rnacentral:rRNA from 1 species